rnacentral:rRNA from 1 species
GAAGGUGGGGAUGAUGUCAAGUCAGUAUGUCCCUUAUGUCCCAGGCUACACACGUGUUACAAUGGCCGGUACAAUGGGGCGCGAUCCCGCAAGGGCAAGCCAAUCCCAAAAAAACCGGCCCAGUUCAGAUUGGAGUCUGCAACUCGACUCCAUGAAGCAGGAAUCUCUAGUAAUCGCGGAUCAGACCGCCGCGGUGAAUACGUUCCCGGGUCUU